rnacentral:rRNA from 1 species
UACGUAGGUGGCAAGCGUUGUCCGGAUUUACUGGGCGUAAAGAGCGCGCAGGCGGUCGGAUUAGUCGCGUGUGAAAGCCCCCGGCUCAACUGGGGAGGGUCAUUCGAUACUGAUCGACUCGAAGGCAGGAGAGGGUAGUGGAAUUCCCGGUGUAGUGGUGAAAUGCGUAGAUAUCGGGAGGAACACCAGUGGCGAAGGCGACUACCUGGCCUGUUCUUGACGCUGAGGCGCGAAAGCUAGGGGAGCAAACGGG